rnacentral:rRNA from 1 species
UACGUAGGGACCAAGCGUUGUUCGGAUUUACUGGGCGUAAAGGGCGCGUAGGCGGCUUGACAAGUCACUUGUGAAAUCUCUGGGCUUAACCCAGAACGGCCAAGUGAUACUGUCGUGCUAGAGUGCAGAAGGGGCAAUCGGAAUUCUUGGUGUAGCGGUGAAAUGCGUAGAUAUCAAGAGGAACACCUGAGGUGAAGACGGGUUGCUGGGCUGACACUGACGCUGAGGCGCGAUAGCGUGGGGAUCAAACAGG